UUUCAACUUGAGAGUUUGAUCCUGGCUCAGAACGAACGCUGGCGGCAGGCUUAACACAUGCAAGUCGAGCGCCCCGCAAGGGGAGCGGCAGACGGGUGAGUAACGCGUGGGAACGUACCAUUUGCUACGGAAUAACUCAGGGAAACUUGUGCUAAUACCGUAUGUGCUCGGGGAAGGAUUUAUCGGCAAAUGAUCGGCCCGCGUUGGAUUAGCUAGUUGGUGGGGUAAAGGCUCACCAAGGCGACGAUCCAUAGCUGGUCUGAGAGGAUGAUCAGCCACACUGGGACUGAGACACGGCCCAGACUCCUACGGGAGGCAGCAGUGGGGAAUAUUGGACAAUGGGCGCAAGCCUGAUCCAGCCAUGCCGCGUGAGUGAUGAGGCCCUAGGGUUGUAAAGCUCUUUCACCGGUGAAGAUAAUGACGGUAACCGGAGAAGAAGCCCCGGCUAACUUCGUGCCAGCAGCCGCGGUAAUACGAAGGGGGCUAGCGUUGUUCGGAUUUACUGGGCGUAAGCGCACGUAGGCGGACUUUUAAGUCAGGGGUGAAUCCCGGGGCUCAACCCCGGAACUGCC
rnacentral:rRNA from 1 species